AACGAACGCUGGCGGCAUGCCUAACACAUGCAAGUCGAACGAUGCCUUCGGGCCUAGUGGCGCACGGGUGCGUAACGCGUGGGAAUCUGCCCUUGGCUUCGGAAUAACAGUUAGAAAUGACUGCUAAUACCGGAUGAUGUCCCCCUGAGAGAUCUUGGGGACCAAAGAUUUAUCGGCCAGGGAUGAGCCCGCGUAGGAUUAGGUAGUUGGUGGGGUAAAGGCCUACCAAGCCGACGAUCCUUAGCUGGUCUGAGAGGAUGAUCAGCCACACUGGGACUGAGACACGGCCCAGACUCCUACGGGAGGCAGCAGUGGGGAAUAUUGGACAAUGGGGGGAACCCUGAUCCAGCAAUGCCGCGUGAGUGAUGAAGGCCUUAGGGUUGUAAAGCUCUUUUACCAGGGAUGAUAAUGACAGUACCUGGAGAAUAAGCUCCGGCUAACUCCGUG
rnacentral:rRNA from 1 species